GGGGAUAUAACUCAGUGGGUAGAGUACUUGCCUCACAUGCAUCAGGCCCUGGGUUCAAUCUCCAGAACCACCA
rnacentral:tRNA from 1 species